rnacentral:lncRNA from 1 species
AAUUCAAUACUUUAUUAUCAUUAUCAUUUUUUUAAUUUCAAAAAGUAUGAAAUAAAAAAAAGAACUAUGAAGUUCGUGGCGUUAGAAUUUUACUAAAUAAAAAAAUAACGUAAUAUGACCAAAGUGACAUUGAACCCAAGUUUAAAAAGUUGCUAUCAAAUUUGAUAUUUUGUUAAAGAUGCAUUAUAUUAUCAAUGAGCAAACUGCGUAUAAGAGUACCAGUUAGGGGGCUGUGCAAUGAAUAAAACAUUUGAUGCACUGAUACAAUUACAGAGAUUGAUGGAGACAGUGUUUGAAGUGAUAGACAGUUUUGACAACAACGGCAGUGUUUUGUUAAUGGAAAAUGUAGCUACAUGCAAUAGAAUUGUUUCAAAUGACCAGCUACAUAGAAAAGUCACAAAAUAAAGAACAUAAAGAUGAAAUUUUAUAUCAAAUUGUCCUACCAAUAGAUUUAAGACUAUAUUUUAUUGAACCAACAAACAACUUUGAUAAAGUUAACAGUAUUUUUGAAAAAGAUUACGUUAAACUUCUUUAAAGCAAACAAUUCGAAUCUAUAUAAUAAUGUUAAACUUAAUAACAGUACUGGCCUUCCGUGUUUAAUACAGAACUCUUGGCAGCAACUGCAACCAAGGUAAUGGCGAGAAAGAAUCACAGCACUUUUAUUUAGUAAGAAAAUUUGAACUAAAGUGUGUACAAAUAUCUAACUUAUGUAAACUUCAAACUAUAUAAUGUUAAAACAUAUAUCAGGUUAUAAUAACAUACUUCGUUUUAA